GGAAGGGGGUCUCCCCGGGCUCUACCUCCCGCGCCUGGGGCUACCCUCGGAGCCUCAGCCGCCACUGCGUGCGCCUCGGGCCACCAAAACUGUUUUCAAACUGCCAGGACCGGAGGUGGCCGCGUGGGGACUCGGGGGAAAGGGCUAGGUUUUGGGGGGCCGAUUGUGUGUUUGCACGCUAAGAAGCCUUGAGGGGAGAUGCAGACGUCUACUCGAGAGGAGUUGCAAUCGAGGUAUCUGCGCUCCGGCUUCCUCUUCUGGCCCGCGACCCCCUCCCCCGGAACGGAGCUGGGGAGGGGAAACCAGGAUUUUAACCAAAUUAGCAUUCACAUUCCUGGGAGGAUGCAGCCCUCGCCUGGAGUUGGGUGAUAGAAGCUUUUUUCUCUGUUUUUAUUUUUGGAGGAGAGCGCCUUGUAAUUGUCCUGAACACAUGCUUCUCCCUCCCCCUUCUUCCUUCAGCCACCAGCGGAGGAGAGAGUCCCCCUUUUUUGCAUUUAUCUUUUCCUUCCCCUUUCUUUAUUAAAGGUCCGGGAGUGGCGGCAGCCAAUCAGCGCGCGGCUUCCAUUUUGUGAGUUCAACUCCGAGGCUCUAGGGCUGCAUGAGGACGCAUUUGCAGCCCCCUAUGCCUCUCUUUUCGGGCGGCCGAGGCGAAAAAGCCGCCUUGCUGGGGUUUCGUGAUGGUGUAUUUCAUAUUGGGGCUCUUUUCGGGGUUUGUAAUUUGGCCGUGGAUAGGUAAUUGGCUGGAGCAGGGCGGCAGGGCGCGGCAGCCAAUCAGCGCGCGGCUUCUAUAGGGCUUGAGUUAUUAGACGCUGAUCUCAAAACAUCCUUCAUCAGACACCAAGGAGAGGCCAACAGAUGAGGGAAGCCAUUUUUCUGCAAUGGAAUUAAAUGGCCAAGUGGGUUUUUCCUUUGUUGCAAAUGGGGAAUGUUUUUCCUUUGACUCCACCAUCCAGUUCAGGACGCCUCAAUGUGUUGUUUAACAUUUGUCAACAGGCCACAGGAUUCAAAAUUGGAAGAAUGAAGAAGACUUUUUAAAAAGAUCUGGACUUUUCCUUAUGACUUGGAAUCCAUCUUUGUCUUGUAUAACUAGGUCAUAGCACACCAUUAAUGUCAGCAGUUAACAAUUUUGAAUUCCAAAAAACCUAAUAAACAGUCCUCAGCGAAGCCGCCUUUUUGCCAACCCAACACUGGAGAGUUUGCAGAAGUGGAAGGAGCAGAAAAUGCCAUAGAGUGUAACUUACAAAAAGGUAAACAUCAAAAAAGACAACACCAUAAUCCCCAAAUUUCCCAACUAAACAAACAAACAAAAGAUAUUUUUACAAUAACAUCUCCAAAACCACCGCCCAGCUUGAUCUUCUAGACUCCAUGGCACCGGGCUGAGCGGGUAAGUAAAAAAAAAGAAAAAAGUGACUUUUGCCCCUUCAAGGAAAUCCUUUUGCAGGCCAAGGGCUGCAAGUGUUUGGGAGCUGAGGGGAGAGAGGAGGAUUCUGGAGCUUUGUGUUUGGCAGUCGGAACAGGGAAGGGGAGUUAGACAAGGAAGGUUCUUAAGACCCUCUUUGUCUUUUUUGCCCUAGAGGAGAGAAGAGGGGACGCUGCAGCUACUCUCUGGCAACCAAGAAGCCGCCUGCGCUCGACCCCCUUGUCCUUCCCAGGUCUGAGCCUUGAUUCGGAGAGAAACUGAAGUGCUUUGGAGACAGGGGGCUCAAAAGACGAGGAAACCUC